rnacentral:rRNA from 1 species
AGUGAACGCUGGCGGCAUGCCUAACACAUGCAAGUCGAACGGCAACACAGUAAGAGCUUGUGCUUAUGGGGGGCCGGUGGCGUAAGGGAGAGGAACAUACCCGAAUCUAGUUUUUAGUGGGGCAUAAGGUAGGGGAAUAUACGAUAAUAUCGCAUACGCCCUACGGGUGAAAGCAGGGGAUCUUCCGCCCUUGCGGGACUGUAUGAGCUGAUGUCGGAUUUGUUGGUGGGGGGGGUCAAGGCCAACCAAGGCGACGGUCCGUAGCCGGUGUGAGAGGAUGGUCGGCCACACUGGAACUGAGCCGCGGUCCAUACUCCUACGGGAGGCAGCAGUGGGGAAUGGGGGACAAUGGGGGCAAGCCUGAUCCAGCCAGACCGCGUGGGUGAAGAAAGCGUUCGGGUUGUAAAGACGUUUUGUUGGGAGAGAAAAGCAGCAGGUUAAUACCCAGCGGUACUGACGGUACCGAAAGAAUAAGCACCGGCUAACUACGUG